CCUUUCCUGGGACUCUGACAGCCCCUCAAGUGUAAGGGUCAGAACCCCUAACUGAGUGCUCCCGGUGACAUGGGAAGCGUCUGGAGUCUUAGGCCUUGGACCUGGCUCUGCCCCUGGCCACAGGCAUUCACCUGCUCGAAGCCCCGCCCCCAUAGAGCCCCUUGAACUGUAAGUGGAGGCUGCCAUCCAGGUCAGUGUGACCAGCACCAGCCAGAGCCCCCGGCUCACCUCACCUCACCGCUGCGCGGCGCUUCCUCCUUCCCGAGCCUUGACAUUCCCAUCUGUGAAGCGGGCGGCCGGAAGCCGACUUCUUCUCUGUCCCGAAACACACACAGGCCCGCCAUUCCUCCAAAAA